rnacentral:rRNA from 1 species
UCCUGGGGCUGUAGUAGGUCCCAAGGGUUGGGCUGUUCGCCCAUUAAAGUGGUACGCGAGCUGGGUUCAGAACGUCGUGAGACAGUUCGGUCCCUAUCCGUCGCAGGCGUAGGAAAUUUGAGAAGACCUGUCCUUAGUACGAGAGGACCGGGAUGGACGUACCUCUGGUGUACCAGUUGUCCUGCCAAGGGCAUGGCUGGGUAGCUAUGUACGGAAUGGAUAAGCGCUGAAAGCAUCUAAGCGCGAAGCCAACUUCAAGAUAAGAUUUCCCACCGCAAGGGUAAGACCCCAGAAAGACUAUCUGGUUGAUAGGUCGAAGGUGUAAGUGCAGCAAUGUAUUUAGCUUAUCGAUACUAAUAGGUCGAGGACUUGACCAAU